rnacentral:rRNA from 1 species
CAAUAGCGUAUAUUAAAGUUGUUGCAGUUAAAAAGCUCGUAGUUGGAUUUCUGGUGGGAGCGAUCGGUCUGGCGCUUAGCGCGAGUACUUGCAUCGUCUCCGGCCAUCCUUGGGGAGAGUCUGUCUAGCAUUAAGUUGUCGGGCAGAGGAUCCUCAUCGUUUACUGUGAAAAAAUUAGAGUGUUCAAAGCAGGCUUAUGCCGUUGAAUAUAUUAGCAUGGAAUAAUAAGAUAGGACUUUGGUACUAUUUUGUUGGUUUGCGCACCAAAGUAAUGAUUAAUAGGGACAGUUGGGGGUAUUCGUAUUCCGUUGUCAGAGGUGAAAUUCUUGGAUUUACGGAAGACGAACUACUGCGAAAGCAUUUACCAAGGAUGUUUUCAUUAA